AUACGGAGGGUGCAAGCGUUAUUCGGAAUCACUGGGCGUAAAGGACGCGUAGGCGGGUUGGCAAGUCAGAUGUGAAAUCCUACAGCUUAACUGUAGAACUGCAUUUGAAACUGCUAACCUAGAGUAUGAGAGGGGGAGAUGGAAUUAGUGGUGUAGGGGUAAAAUCCGUAGAUAUCACUAGGAAUACCGAAAGCGAAGGCGAUCUCCUGGAACAUAACUGACGCUAAGGCGUGAAAGCGUGGGGAGCAAACAGAAUUAGAAACCCGAGUAGUCC
rnacentral:rRNA from 1 species